AGCGAACGCUGGCGGCAGUCCUAACACAUGCAAGUCGAACGAACCCUUCGGGGUUAGUGGCGGACGGGUGAGUAACACGUGGGAACGUGCCUUUAGGUUCGGAAUAACGCAGGGAAACUUGUGCUAAUACCGAAUGUGCCCUUCGGGGGAAAGAUUGAUCGCCUUUAGAGCGGCCCGCGUCUGAUUAGCUAGUUGGUGAGGUACUGGCUCACCAAGGCUACGAUCAGUAGCUGGUCUGAGAGGAUGACCAGCCACAUUGGGACUGAGAACCGGCCCAAACUCCUGCGGGAGGCGGCAGUGGGGAAUCUUGCGCAAUGGGCGAAAGCCUGACGCAGCCAUGCCGCGUGGAUGAUGAAGGUCUUAGGAUUGUAAAAUCCUUUCACCGGUGAAGAUAAUGACUGUAGCCGGAGAAGAAGCCCCGGCUAACUUCGUGCCAGCCGCCGCCGUAAGAC
rnacentral:rRNA from 1 species